CGGAGGGUGCAAGCGUUAAUCGGAAUUACUGGGCGUAAAGGGUUCGUAGGUGGUUUAUCAAGUUAUUUGUAAAAUCCCUGGGCUUAACCUGGGCAGGUCAGAUAAUACUGGUAGACUCGAGUAUGGGAGAGGGUAGUGGAAUUUCCGGUGUAGCGGUGAAAUGCGUAGAGAUCGGAAGGAACACCAGUGGCGAAGGCGGCUACCUGGCCUAAUACUGACACUGAGGAACGAAAGCGUGGGGAGCAAACAGGAUUAGAUACCCUGGUAGUCCACGCCGUAAACGAUGUCAACUAGCUGUUGGUCAUAUUGAUAUGAUUAGUGGCGCAGCAAACGCGAUAAGUUGACCGCCUGGGGAGUACGGUCGCAAGAUUA
rnacentral:rRNA from 1 species